AGCACCUUUUGUUACAUUUUAAUAUUUUAUGAUGUAUUUAAAUGAGUAGUUAUUGUUGCAAACUCCAUUAGAAAUUUGAAUUGAGAUCAGUUUUGGAAAAAGGGAAAAGGGGAUGUGAAAAAAAAAAUGGGGGGGGGGGUGUUAAAUUUUUCUCAUUUCAGAUUUCAUAAAUAAAAAGAAAAUUUCUUCAAACAUUUUUUUGAGAGGAUUAAUAUUCAACAGCAUAGUGAAUUGCUCAAAGGAAAAAAAAGUAUUUUAAGUUCAUUAGACCACAUUCAUUCUGUGUCAGAAACCUAUGCUGUGUCAACUAUUUAAUCACAAUCCAAAUUUAGAGCUGAAUCCAGCUUGAAUGUUGUGUCCAUACUUGCCCCAAUCGUUCAGGGUUCAACCUCUGCGGUCGUAUAAAGCUGCGCCCUGCGGAGCAUCUGGUUAAAUCCUGUAGUUCUAAAUAUUCUAUACAUAAUUUGUUAAGGGGCCACCUGAAGGACGACUCCUGGUGAGGGAGUUUCUUGCUUUAUUGAAGACCAAUUGGUUUCCUUCGGCUGUUGUCUGCUUUCCUGGAGCAGGUAGUUAGAAGUCCUAUUUAAAUUACUUAUAGGAUAGAUGUUAGCAAUUUAGAAGCGAUAUUUAAGAGUGAGUUAAUGGUAGGAACCAUCAGGUUGUUUGCAUGCAGACUUAUUUGGGUAUUUCAGUAGGUUAAAGUCGGAG
rnacentral:lncRNA from 1 species